rnacentral:rRNA from 1 species
GGCGGCGUGCCUAAUACAUGCAAGUCGAGCGAGCUGAAUUCAAAGAUCCCUUCGGGGUGAUUUGUUGGACGCUAGCGGCGGAUGGGUGAGUAACACGUGGGCAAUCUGCCCUAAAGACUGGGAUACCACUUGGAAACAGGUGCUAAUACCGGAUAACAACAUGAAUCGCAUGAUUCAAGUUUGAAAGGCGGCGCAAGCUGUCACUUUAGGAUGAGCCCGCGGCGCAUUAGCUAGUUGGUGGGGUAAAGGCCUACCAAGGCAAUGAUGCGUAGCCGAGUUGAGAGACUGAUCGGCCACAUUGGGACUGAGACACGGCCCAAACUCCUACGGGAGGCAGCAGUAGGGAAUCUUCCACAAUGGACGCAAGUCUGAUGGAGCAACGCCGCGUGAGUGAAGAAGGUUUUCGGAUCGUAAAGCUCUGUUGUUGGUGAAGAAGGAUAGAGGCAGUAACUGGUCUUUAUUUGACGGUAAUCAACCAGAAAGUCACGGCUAACUACGUGCCAGCAGCCGCGGUAAUACGUAGGU